GUGUAUGUUUUUAUGCUUACUUAUAAUAUACUCUAUGUUAAUGCUAUUUAUAUUUAAGAUGCAUAUUUAAAAGCAUGAGUUAACUCGUUUGCCUGACAUGGCAGGUUAACACGUUCAUUGUCAUACGAAAUAUAAAUACUUGCUGCAAAAUAUUACACAACAACAAAUAGUAAUACAUAGCGCGUUUUUCAUUUCAUAAUGUUAUCCAGUUAUUUACGUUAUUCAACAUUGUUCAGUUACCGCUAUUCGUCUUAUUCGAAUUAUUCUAAGAUAUUUAGGAACGCCAGGCAUCAAUGACCAUCGUAGCAGCCAACGUGUCAACUAAGGAAAGCAGACCUAUAUUUUAGUCGGUAAUGGUCGGCAGUUAUGGUUUCACCGGCAGUGUACCACCGAAAGUUAUGGACAUUUUGAAGUCAAAGCUCGAAUCUGGCAAAACGGGCCUGUGACCGCAGGAAUCUGGUGUGCGGAACUUGGCGUACGUGCAAUUCGAACAAAUUACGAUGGCGCUCGCUUACUCACCGACGACAUCGCGACGCCGUAGAGAGAGAAAGACGUAACGACAGCCUACCGUGCAGUGGAGAAAGGAAAACACGAGUCAUAAGCACGACUUACGGACUCAGAAGAGAGCCGCGUCGCGUCGUGCUUCUCGCUUCACACUUCUCACAGUCGGCAUUCAACUUCCUUCGUUGAGAGACACGUGCUCUGACCACGGUGCGCGCGAACAGUAACGCUCGGUGGGCAGAGCAUCGGCAACCAAAUCCGACAGAAGAUAUCCCGUCAAAUCCAACCGGAAAACGUGUUAUUAAACACUUCCAGCCAAAGUCGCCGCAACGAAACGGGCCAGAGAAAUCCUAUUAAAUGGCCUGUACGCGCUGUCGGUUUUCUAACGAUCUUAAAACGUAAUCGUCGAAAUGAUCGCCACGCCGCCGCGCAGCGUGAACGGGUAGUCGGAUAACAAGAGGGUCGCAGGACGAAGGACUAUUUUUUCAAAGCAUCGAUCCUAGAUCUCGAAGAGAGCUGCCAGGAAGAAACCUUUUUUCUACAAAUAGCACGUUUAACGUUAUAUGUAACAUAACAUAACAUAACAUAACAUAACGUAACAUAACGCAACAGAUGAAGAAGAGAGAGAAAGAGAGAGAGAGAGUGUGUGUGUGUGUGUGAGAGAGAGAGAGAGAGACAAGAGGAGACGAAAGAUAGAAAGAGAGAAUCGAGAGAAAGGCGCAACUCCUAUCUUCUCGCGGCACAGUUCAACUGCGAAGGUCGGUCAAUGGCCAACGCCGGCUAACAGCCACUAAAGUGGGGAGAGAAAGAUGAUAGGGGAGAAAAGGACAGCGUAAUAGGGAGGAGUGGAGCGAGACCAAAGACUCUGAGAGGGAGAAAGGGCGACGUAACUUGGAUGGUACCAGAAUAUCAUUACGUUCAAUUGCUAUACGGCAACAUCCAGCGACCAGAUGGUACAUGUCAAUGCACGUGCGUCCGGAGAAAAAAGGGUUGACAUUGGUUACCAGUCCAGCUACUGUAACAAGAUUAUUCGAGUUGGCGUGAACAACACCAAGCACCGCGGAUUCCUCGUUCCCUGGAACGCGGAAAUUUCUUUUCCACGACAAAACUUUACCGGACGAUCGGAUCUGGUGUUUACGAAGCGACGCGAAGGAAGAACGAUCCUUCGAUCGAUUCGAAGAAAAGAUUCUACGAUGGAAGAAAGCGUAGAACGAUCGAUUCGAAGAAAUUGAAAAUAACAUUUUUCAUUUUGAUGAAAUACGAAGGGCAGUGGGAGCGGCACCUCACGCCUCGCGCAUAAUGAUGUAACAAACUAUCGGAGAAUUACCUAUUCAUCUUCCUUCUCAAGGAACGAAUUAGAUAAUGUGUAAUUAUGAUAAAACAAAGAAGCAAGUUUAUAAUAUAGGUAAAAUAAUCUUUA